rnacentral:rRNA from 1 species
GACGAACGCUUGCGGCGUGCCUAAUGUAUGCAAGUCGAGCGGUGACGGAGCUUCGGCUCCCGAUCAGCGGCGAACGGUUGAGUAACACGUAGGCAACCUGCCCCGAAGUGGGGGAUAACUCAUCGAAAGGUGGGCUAAUACCGCAUGUGGAUGGCGCCCGCAUGGGCGCUUCUCCAAAGCCGCAAGGCGCUUCGGGAUGGGCCUGCGGCCUAUCAGCUAGUUGGGGGGUAACGGCCUACCAAGGCGGCGACGGGUAGCUGGUCUGAGAGGAUGGUCAGCCAGACAGGGACUGAGACACGGCCCUGACUCCUUUGGGGGGCAGCAAUGAGGGAUAUUGCACAAUGGGCGAAAGCCUGAUGCAGCGACGCCGCGUGGGUGAUGAAGUCUCUCGGGAUGUAAAGCCCUUUUGUCGGGGACGAGAAUGGACGGUACCCGGCGAAUAA